rnacentral:rRNA from 1 species
AUUGAACGCUGGCGGCAGGCCUAACACAUGCAAGUCGAGCGGAGGAAGGGAGCUUGCUCCUGGAAUCAGCGGCGGACGGGUGAGUAAUGCCUGGGAAUCUGCCUGGUAGUGGGGGAUAACGUCUCGAAAGGGACGCUAAUACCGCGUGCGUCCUACGGGAGAAAGCAGGGGAUCUUCGGACCUUGCGCUAUCAGAUGAGCCCAGGCCGGAUUAGCUUGUUGGUGAGGUAAUGGCUCACCAAGGCGACGAUCCGUAGCUGGUCUGAGAGGAUGAUCAGCCACACUGGGACUGAGACACGGCCCAGACUCCUACGGGAGGCAGCAGUGGGGAAUAUUGGACAAUGGGCGAAAGCCUGAUCCAGCCAUGCCGCGUGUGUGAAGAAGGUCUUCGGAUUGUAAAGCACUUUAAGUUGGGAGGAAGGGGUUGAAGCUAAUACCUUCAAUCUUUGACGUUACCAACAGAAUAAGUACCGGCUAACUCUGUGCCAGCAGCCGCCGUAACAC